AAGGAUAUAUACGGAACAGUUUCAACAGAAACUGACGGAUUAACAUUGACAUAUUGUAUUCAGUUUUGAAUGCUCAUUCGAGUAUUCAUGAUUGUACAUUGAAAACUAGAUAAGUAAGUAAUAAAUAGAUUUUACCAAGCAAAACCGAGUGAAUUAGAGUUUUAAAAGCUUUAUUCAUUUAAAUGAAUCGCUAGUAAUCGACUUGCCGAUGGCAAAGAAGAUUACUCACAUAAUUAAUAACGU
rnacentral:misc_RNA from 1 species